rnacentral:rRNA from 1 species
GAUGAACGCUAGCGACAGGCUUAACACAUGCAAGUCGAGGGGCAUCAUGAGGUAGCAAUACCUUGAUGGCGACCGGCGCACGGGUGAGUAACGCGUAUGCAACCUGCCCGAUACCGGGGUAUAGCCCAUGGAAACGUGGAUUAACACCCCAUAGUACUUUUAUCCUGCAUGGGAUGUGAGUUAAAUGUUCAAGGUAUCGGAUGGGCAUGCGUCCUAUUAGUUAGUUGGCGGGGUAACAGCCCACCAAGACGAUGAUAGGUAGGGGUUCUGAGAGGAAGGUCCCCCACAUUGGAACUGAGACACGGUCCAAACUCCUACGGGAGGCAGCAGUGAGGAAUAUUGGUCAAUGGACGAGAGUCUGAACCAGCCAAGUCGCGUGAGGGAAGACUGCCCUAUGGGUUGUAAACCUCUUUUAUAAGGGAAGAAUAAGUUCUACGUGUAGAAUGAUGCCUGUACCUUAUGAAUAAGCAUCGGCUAACUCCGUGCCAGCAGCCGCGGUAAUACGGAGGAUGCGAGCGUUAUCCGGAUUUAUUGGGUUUAAAGGGUGCGUAGGCGGUUUAUUAAGUUAGUGGUUAAAUAUUUGAGCUAAACUCAAUUGUGCCAUUAAUACUGGUAAACUGGAGUACAGACGAGGUAGGCGGAAUAAGUUAAGUAGCGGUGAAAUGCAUAGAUAUAACUUAGAACUCCGAUAGCGAAGGCAGCUUACCAGACUGUAACUGACGCUGAUGCA